rnacentral:rRNA from 1 species
CUGAAAGCAUCUAAGUGAGAAACUAACCUCGAGAUGAGAUUUCCCAUUCGUCAGAAGUAAGACCCCUGAGAGACGAUCAGGUAGAUAGGCUAGAAGUGGAAGUGUAGUGAUGCAUGGAGCGGACUAGUACUAAUAGGUCGAGGACUUAACCAAG